GGAAAGUUAACAUUGGUAUUUUGUCUCCGUCCAAACCAUAAUUAUAAAACAUUAAAAACGUGGAUUUACAAAUUGAGAACGUGGAUCAGAAGAACAUUUCAAAUUGUGCCUCCAGUUAGCAGACAAGAUGGAUUCCCUGUGGCUCAAAAGUUACAAGCAGAACCAAGAGGCCAUGGCAGGGUGAGAGGGCAGUCACAUUCUGUUGUGUCCUUAGAAAGUGUUGCAGAACCUGUUUUUCUGCAACUGAGUCAAAGAACAGUUCCUGAAAAGUACUGCAGCUGGAAAUUUCCCAGCUGACCGCUAGCAAGUCACCUGGAGCCAACCAGCUGACCACCUGGAACCAGCCAAUCAAGAAAGACUGAUGAUAUGGGGCUUAAAGGUCAUCUGGUCCAGACUCUGUUCCUCAUUCCCCUGCCUCCCCUUCCCUGCCCUGCAGUUUUUACCUUCAUAAUCUCCUGCAUUCCAGACCCUCUUCAAAGUGCACUUUCAUCUCCGCAAUCUGCAGAUUGCUUUUAGAAAAUAAAGUUGUAGGUUGACUGUAGUUAAUAACAACUUAAUUGAAUAUUUUAAAAUAAGUUAAAGAAUGUGAUUGGAUUGUUUGUAACUCAAAAGAUAAAUGCUUGAAGGGAAAGACACCCAAUUCUCCACGAUGUGCUUGUUUCAUAUUGCACGCCUGUAUCAAAACAUCUCGAGUACCCCAGAAACAUAUACACGUACUAUGUACCCACAAAUAUUUAAAAUAAU
rnacentral:lncRNA from 1 species